rnacentral:lncRNA from 1 species
CUUGUAUUAUUUUAAUUUUAGUUUCUUGUGUACAAUUUGGAAAUUAGUAUGGCGUUCAUUAUCACUGAACUAGUAUAUAUUUGUUUAGGGGCCAGUUGAAGGACGCCUCUGAGUGCGGGAAUUUCUCGCUACAUUGAAGACCUGUUGGUGACCUUCUGCUGUUGUUUUUUUCUAUGGUCGGGUUGUUGUCUCUUUGGCACAUUCCCCAUUUCCAUUCUCAAUUUUAUAUAUAUAUAUAUAAUAA